AGGGGGCAAGCGUUAUCCGGAUUUACUGGGUGUAAAGGGAGCGCAGACGGCAGUGCAAGUCCGGAGUGAAAGCCCGGGGCCCAACCCCGGGACUGCUCUGGAAACUGUACGGCUGGAGUGCCGGAGAGGUAAGCGGAAUUCCUAGUGUAGCGGUGAAAUGCGUAGAUAUUAGGAGGAACACCAGUGGCGAAGGCGGCUUACUGGACGGUAACUGACGUUGAGGCUCGAAAGCGUGGGGAGCAAACAGGAUUAGAUACCCUGGUAGUCCACGCCGUAAACGAUGAUUACUAGGUGUCGGGGAGUAAAGACUGCCCGGUGCCGGAGCAAACGCAUUAAGUAAUCCACCUGGGGAGUACGUUCGCAAGAAUG
rnacentral:rRNA from 2 species